GUCUAUGGUCAUACCACCCUGAAUGUGCCCGAUCUCAUCUGGUCUUGGAAGCUAAGCAGGGUCAGGCUUGGUUAGUACUUGGAUGGGAGAUAGGUUCAUAAGAGCACACUCUUGUCU
rnacentral:rRNA from 1 species